UGGGGAAUCUUGCACAUUGGACGAAAGUCUGAUGCAGCAACGCCGCGUGGGGGAUGAAGCUUUUCGGAGUGUAAACCCCUUUCGACCCGGAAGAAUGCCCGCAAGGGUUUGACGGUACGGGUAUAAGAAGCCCCGGCUAACUACGUGCCAGCAGCCGCGGUAAUACGUAGGGGGCCAGCGUUGCUCGGAAUUACUGGGCGUAAAGGGUCCGUAGGCGGUGUGGCAAGUCGGGAGUGAAAUCUCUGGGCUUAACCCAGAGGCUGCUUCCGAAACUGCCAUGCUAGAGUGUGAGAGAGGCGAGUGGAAUUACGGGUGUAGCGGUGAAAUGCGUAGAUAUCCGUAGGAACAUCCGAGGCGAAGGCGGCUCGCUGGAUCACAACUGACGCUGAGGGACGAAAGCUAGGGGAGCAAACAGGAUUAGAUACCCUGGUAGUCCUAGCCCUAAACCAUCAGGACUUGGGGUGUGCCCUGUACGGGGCACGUCCCGUAGCUAACGCGUUAAGUCCUGCGCCUGGGGAGUACGGUCGCAAGGCUG
rnacentral:rRNA from 1 species